rnacentral:rRNA from 1 species
GACGAACGCUGGCGGCGUGCUUAACACAUGCAAGUCGAACGAAGUGGCGAACGGGUGAGUAACGCGUAAUCAACCUGCCCUUCAGAGGGGGACAACAGUUGGAAAAGACUGCUAAUACCGCAUACUGAAGGAGGGGCGUGCGUCGGAGUAGCUCGUUGGAGGGGUAACGGCCCACCAGGGCGAUGAUCAGUAGCCGGGCUGAGAGGAUGAGCGGCCACAUUGGGACUGAGACAAGGCCCAGACUCCUACGGGAGGCAGCAGUGGGGAAUCUUCCGCAAUGGACGAAAGUCUGACGGAGCAACGCCGCGUGAGUGAUGACGGCCUUCGGGUUGGAAAGCUCUGUUAAUCGGGACGCGGUACCGGAAUAGAAAGCCACGGCUAACUACGUGCCAGCCGCCGCGGUAAUAC